AUCAUUUAAACAUUUAUUUAAUAUAGGUUAAAAAUGUAAUACAUAAAAGAUAAAAAAUGAACACUAAAAUGUCAAACAGAAGAAAACCCUUUACAUUUUAUUUUGGUCAACAAAAAGUCUGUGCAUAACUCAGCAGCAGGCCUGAAUUAUAUUAAACCAAAGCUGCAUUGUGAUGGCCACCAAUGUACAGACUGCCUGUCUGGCUUAGCACAUUAAAAGUCUAAUCAAGGCUCAAACCAACAUCCUUAGAAAUUCCAUAUAUAUAUAUGAAAAAUACUUUCUUUCUCAGUUAAAUGGGAUAAAUCUUAAAGUUGGAAAACUAUUAAAAACAAUAAAAAUUUAAAACUGUAAUUUUGCUAAGGGUAUAGAGUAAAUAACAACAACAACAACAACAAAAAUGACAAACCAGAAACACUAAAAUGUGUUUGCAUGUGAAAGAAUCAUCAUGUUGAUUUACAUCAAAGAACAUCAUAUUUGUUUAUCUUAAUGCUUGGCAUAGUUAGGUUUUAAGGUUUUAAAAAUAUUUUUGAAUUUAUUAUUAAACGAUAGGAACAUACUGUACAGAAUAUUUCAAAAUUGCUAUCAAGAAAACGAGUACAAAUUUUACCUAGCAAUAUAGAUUUCUUAUCAACAUACCUUUUUUCCUCACUGGUAUCAAACUGACAAAGGUGUACGGAGAAAGUAAUUGAAUGGUUUCUGAAGGACACACUAGCCCUUUAGCCAAGAGUUCUGCUUCUGAAUUACAUAGAACAUCUUGGUCCACAGACAACGGAAUGGAUUUUUGGAGAGAGUGUCAAUUUAGGGCUAAAGAAAUACAGGGUGAGAAUGAAGCCCUCAACAAAAGCUCCAAAAGGGCACAGACACUGGUAAAUGACCUAAAUAUGGAGAGAGAGGUGAGGAGAAAAUACAUAGUAAAUGCUGGCUUGUUAUUGCAUUUUCUUCUCUCCCUUCUCUGAUCCAUUUAUCUUCUUAAGACUGCCUUCUGUGUCCUUUUGCAGGGAAAUUAUCUUACCCUUUAACAUUUGUUUCUUCACUAUUUUAACAAAAAGCCUAUAAGAAAAAUAAUAAAUUCAAGGGUAUUACUAAAAGCCUGAAUAAGAAUAAUAACAAGCCCUAUGCUCCAAUCAGUAAACUCGUUUCUUGGAAUAAAAUCUUCAUUUGUGGAAGUGGAAUGGUGUCUCUUAGUAGACAGUGUUCAUUUAGGGUGUGAUACUCUUACUUUU
rnacentral:lncRNA from 1 species